rnacentral:rRNA from 1 species
AACAAACGCUGGCGGCGUGCCUAAUACAUGCAAGUCGAACGAGGUAGCAAUACCUAGUGGCGCACGGGUGGGUAACGCGUGGAUAAUCUGCCUUUGAGUGGGGGAUAACUAGUCGAAAGAUUAGCUAAUACCGCAUAAGACCACAGGAUCUGAGGAUCUAGGGGUUAAAGGUUUUUCGCUCAUAGGUGAGUCCGCGUGAGAUUAGCUAGUUGGUGAGGUAACGGCUCACCAAGGCGACGAUCUCUAACUGGUCUGAGAGGAUAAUCAGUCACACUGGAACUGAGACACGGUCCAG